GAAUUCGCCCUUAGAGUUUGAUUCUGGCUCAGGACGAACGUUGGCGGUGUGCCUAAUACAUGCAAGUCGAACGGUGACGAUUUUGUAGCAAUACGAAUGAAAUCAUAGUGGCGAACGGGUGAGUAACGCGUUGGUGAUCUGCCUCGAAGUGUGGAAUAACUUCCCGAAAGGGUAGCUAAUACCGCAUAGUCUCUCAAGGUUUAGAAAAUUGGGAGUAAAGGAUUUAUUCGCUUCGAGAGGAGCCUGCGUCCCAUCAGCUAGUUGGUAGGGUAAUAGCCUACCAAGGCAAUGACGGGUAGGGGACCUGAGAGGGUGGCCCCCCACAAUGGAACUGAAACACGGUCCAUACACCUACGGGUGGCAGCAGUAGGGAAUAUUAGAAAUGGGCGAAAGCCUGAUGCAGCGACGCCGCGUGGAGGAUGAAGGCCUUCGGGUCGUAAACUCCUGUCUGGGGGGAUGAAUUUUUGACAGUACCCCCGGAGGAAGCCCCGGCUAACUGCGUGCCAGCAGCCGCGGUAAUACGUAGGGGGCAAGCGUUGUCCGGAAUUACUGGGCGUAAAGCGCGCGUAGGUGGCUUGUUAAGUCAGGUGUCAAAAUGCGGAGCUCAACUCCGCAGCGCACUUGAAACUGGCAGGCUUGAGUGCAGGAGAGGAAAGUGGAAUUCCUAGUGUAGCGGUGAAAUGCGUAGAUAUUAGGAGGAACACCAGUAGCGAAGGCGGCUUUCUGGACUGUAACUGACACUGAGGCACGAAAGCGUGGGGAGCAAACAGGAUUAGAUACCCUGGUAGUCCACGCCGUAAACGAUGAGUACUAGGUGUCGGGGGUUACCCCCCUCGGUGCCGUAGCUAACGCAUUAAGUACUCCGCCUGGGGAGUACGCUCGCAAGAGUGAAACUCAAAGGAAUAGACGGGGACCCGCACAAGUAGCGGAGCAUGUGGUUUAAUUCGAAGCAACGCGAAGAACCUUACCUAAGCUUGACAUCCUUUUGACCGAUGCCUAAUAGCAUCUUUCCCCUCGGGGACAGAAGUGACAGGUGGUGCAUGGUUGUCGUCAGCUCGUGUCGUGAGAUGUUGGGUUAAGUCCCGCAACGAGCGCAACCCUCGCCUUUAGUUGCCAGCAUUAAGUUGGGCACUCUAGAGGGACUGCCAGGGAUAACCUGGAGGAAGGUGGGGAUGACGUCAAAUCAUCAUGCCCCCUAUGCUUAGGGCUACACACGUGCUACAAUGGGUGGUACAGAGGGCAGCCAAGUCGUGAGGCCGAGCUAAUCCCUUAAAGCCAUUCUCAGUUCGGAUUGUAGGCUGAAACUCGCCUACAUGAAGCUGGAGUUACUAGUAAUCGCAGAUCAGAAUGCUGCGGUGAAAAAGGUCCCGGGUCUUGCACUCUCCGCCCGUCA
rnacentral:rRNA from 1 species